rnacentral:rRNA from 1 species
UACGAAGGGUGCAAGCGUUAAUCGGAAUUACUGGGCGUAAAGGGUGCGUAGGCGGUUGUUUAAGUCUGUCGUGAAAUCCCCGGGCUCAACCUGGGAAUGGCGAUGGAAACUGGGCAGCUAGAGUGUGGCAGAGGAAGGUGGAAUUCCCGGUGUAGCGGUGAAAUGCGUAGAGAUCGGGAGGAACAUCAGUGGCGAAGGCGGCCAGCUGGGACAACACUGACGCUGAAGCACGAAAGCGUGGGGAGCAAACAGG